AGAAAGGAGAAAGCUUAAGUUCACUUACAAGAAGCGAUCCCUCUGAUAUACGAGCAGAAUUUCUUUUGGUUAUGCAAUCGCAUUUCGUGUGUACUACUUUUAUACGAAGUUCGUGUCGUGAGAUUUGACGAUAAACUUGGCAAGUUUCCCCGUUCGGUGCUUGCUUGGCCGCUUUUUAAAAGUACCGCUCUAAGAGAGAGAGAGAGAGAGAGAGAGAGAGAGAGAGAGAGAGAGAGAGAGAGAGAGAGAGGACGAUGAUAAGUUCGUAAUAACUAAUAACGAACCGAUUCUAAUCCGAACAUCCCCCUGUUGCUUUUGAAUAUAAAUUAGUAUAACGCGAAUAAAGAUUGGAGAACAAAUUCUAAUCAAUUCUAUCUCUUCUUAUCUGCUACAAAUAUGAACAGCAUAAACAUAGACUACCGCGCGUGUACACGUGACAUUAAAAUAUCGUAAGAAUCGCUCGAUAAACGCGUUCAUAUCGAGGGUAAUAAGGUAAGUCACCUUCCGUCACUUGUAUUUUCCUAACACGUGAAUGAAGAACGUCGUCUCAUUUGAAAAAUAAGAAACGUACGACGAUAGCGAAUAAGAAACAUCAUGGCGGAAUAAAAGCCAAGAAAAUUAUAGAAUCGCUAAUAGGUUUUAUCGUUAGAAUGCGGUCAUUCGAUUAUGUAGAAUGUGAUAAGAUCGCUUUAAAAGCUAAAUGGAAAAUGAAAAGACAAUGAAAAGAAACAAAGAAAAUAAGAUAUUUUUAAUGAAGACAGUACGUCACGCAUAAAUGAUAUGUAUUCACAGGAUAGGAAGUUGGUAAAAGAGCUUUAAGAGCUUAGAGCGAGAGAGAGAGAGAGAGAGAGAGAGAGAGAAAGAGAGAAAGAGAGAAAGAGAAAAAAGAAUAGAAUGAAGAGCCGACGAUUUCAACGAGAGAACGAAACGUAAGUAUCCGAGUUCGUGUGCUCCUUCGGCUCGACAUCUAUGACAGGAUCGACGAGCUCGGAGGGCCUGCGGCCCCAGGAAACCUCACCUAUUCCUACGAGAAAUACAUUGUUUUCUCACGAUUCUUUCGUCGAGGGACGAGAUCAGCAUCAUCAGCCACGUCGGAAAAUGACUCCGUUACCACCGAGCGGUACGCCGAUACAGCUAACUCCUCUUUGGGAACACGUGGUUCGUAUUAGAUACGUUUCGGUCGAAUUAAUUCAUUUUGUUGCUAAACGAAAUCGGUCGGUCGUUAGAAAAAUAAGUAGGAUGAUCGAACAGGUUCGUACGAGAAGAUUUCCAUCGGAGAUCGAUACACGAUUGAUAUUCGUCGAGAUAUCGGAAAGAUUGCGAGAUCCAGAAUGGGAAGUACGGCAACACGCUCUUCGCGUUCUUAUGGACGUGAUGCCGACUCUGUCCGGCGAAAUCGUGGACGAGGUAAUGCAACCGGUGGUACCAGAACUGUUAAAUAAUUUAGGUCAUGCAGCACCAGCCGUUCGUAAGGGCGCCUUGGACGCUUUGAGAGUAUACCUCGUACAUAGUCUCGACAGAGAAAGGAUCGUGAAAAAUAUAUUUCGGGAUGGUUUUAACCGACGAGACGUUCAGGACGUGUUUCAAACUAAUCUGAUCACAGGAGUGAUCCUCAGUGCACCAUCCUUGCUAUUCCCAUCGUCGAGUGGUUCUCGUCCUAGCAAGGACAUCGUCAAAUACGUCACCUUCUCUUUGGCCUCUCGUUUGACCCAGGUCGCCUAUCAGGAAGCUAUUCUAAAGUCGUUGAUGAAGAUUCGCGAGACUAUAGGCGCGGGAGAAUUCGACGACAUCAUUUCUGGUUGCGACGGUGAACUGAAAAAACAUUUGGAAGUUCUCUGCAAGGUUUACAACGUUAAACCGAGCAAGAAGAGCCAAACGAAGAUAUCGUCGGAUAGGAAGGAAGUUAACAAAUUAGACGAGGUUGGGCCUACUCGUGAAAAAAUUUGGGAUAGCGACAGUGAUACGUCAGGGAUUGCCGAAGAAGAAGAUGAAAUUGUUAAUGGACAGAUGCCACCGGCUCGAGUGGUUUUGGAAACGGAAAUAAAGUUCAACGAAGAGACAGCCAUCACUAUGACCAUUCUCGAAGAAAAAGCUACGAACAGCGAAGAGGACGAGGAGGGCGAAGAAAGUGGCACCGACGUAAGAAACGAAACUGAAAUAACGAGCGAACGUAACGAUACAAGAAAAAAAACCCCUAGACGUGUACAUUUUGGUGGUGAAAUCGUUAAAUUAAGGACACCCGAUAGCGACGAUACCGAAUCGGUUGUCGUAGCUUCCUCGAAAACUAGGAUACCCCUUCCAGUCUCGCCAGCCACAAAGAUGCCAUUGGAACGGUCACGUCGAAGAUCUAUAUCGCAGCCCAACAGUCCUCAUUUCGCUAGACGCAAUACCAGUAGAAUGUCCAGAUCACUUUCCAGUAGUCCUAAGAGAGAAAUUUAUACACAUAAUGCUGAUCUCAGUCCGAAAAAGGGUAUUCUUACGAGAACGAGCAGUCCUCUUUUCGUUAUCGAACCGAUCGAUCGUCAGCUUGAUGAUAAGAGAGAUAAACGUAACGAUAAGUCCGCAGAAAUGUCGACUCGAUCGGGAUCACCAAAAUUAAAAAACGACGACGACUCGAGUCGAUCUCCGCUUCGAGUUAAUUCCAUCGAAGAAAAUUUCGUUAUCGAAAAGUUGUCCGACGAUAUUAAGAAGCAAAACGAUCAUCGAAAGGAUAAGGAAGAUUCGAAGAACGUUAAGGAAGAUAAACCAUUGUUUCGAUCGUUCAGCGUUCCAUCCAUUAGAUCGAUAGAAAGUAAUUACGAAUCGAAAGAUUCGGAGAGAAUAAAAGCUCUCAAAGAACAAGAAAGAAAGAAAUCUUUUUCGAAUAAUGUCGAAGAACUUUCUUCGAUAAACAAUCAAGCUAAUCUUACCCUAUAUCACGAAAGUGCUAACGAUACGAAAGCAUUUUCAUCGAUAUUUGAUACGAAAGUCAAUAAUAGAGCUGUCUCGAUAGAAUCGAAUCAUGAGAAUCUUGACGAUGUUGAACGAUCGCUUGACGUUACUUCGAAAAUCGAUGAAAAGAUAAAGGAUAACGUUGCCGUAGGCACUACGUCAGGAUUAAAAUCGAACGAACGUGAAUCGACUAAUGCCUUACGAAAGAUUCACAGUUCGAAAACUUUCAAACGAGAACGUGAUUCACGUUCGCCAACAAAGAUUGUUGAUUCCGAGAAUAUAGUGACUUCACGUAAAUAUAAUGAACCUGAGGAAAUACGAAGAACUAAAACGAGUCAUGCAGUGGAAAACGGAAACUUGACGCGUGCAGUGGGCGACAACAAGAAAGAAAGUAAAUCACAGGAACCAAGUUGGGAAGAAUUGGGAUUGGUUAAUCGUGACGUUUUGGAUGACCUACAUAACAAGGAGGAUUGGCGUGCUCGCGUAAGAGGUCUCGAAAGAGUAGCAUCGGCAUUACGGACACCCUCAGCUCUAAUCGCGAUAGAGUCGCGAUUAGGAUCACUUUUGCAUGCUGUACUUGGCGGCGAAAGGAGCUGCCGCGUAGCGGCUGCUGGUUUAGCAGUUGCAAAGAUCGUCGUUGCUGGUGUCACCGAAAAUGCGCUAAAACGAAAAUUGCCUCAACUCGCUUGGGGCCUGGCAAGACAAGGUGGUCCUAGUGCUGCUCAACUUGCGAGAAUUGCUAUGCUCAGAUUAAAACCUGCUUAUCUCUUGGAACAAUUUUUGCAACCUCAAUGUCUCGGGGCUAGAAAUGCUAAGACGAGAGAGAACGCAUUGCAGUUGUUGAUCUUCUCUUUCGUCACUUUUCCCAGUACGGAGUUUAAAGUCGAGACGGUGGCACAUAAGGUUGCUCUUAUGGUGGGUGAUCGACGUCGUAGGGUACGACAAGCUGCUCUCGAUGCUUUGGCUGUUUUGGCACAGAUUUACGAACCCGAGGAGGUUCUACGAGCAGGGAAAAGAGCAUCGGCCAGUAGGCACGACGGUGAGGCCAUGUUUUCAGCUAUAAGAUCUCGUCUAGCUAGAAAAUCAUUGCCUUUGGUCUCUGCCGACGGUUUGGUCGUCUAUGGUCUACAAAUUUCACCGACCGUUCAAAUUGCUACCGGUAAUCGACCUGACGUUGAUUGGAUCGUAGCCGGAAGUGGUUCGGUUUCACCUGGUACAGGACGUAGCAAACGUCAAAUCGCAACGGCCAAACCCGAUAGAGGAAAUUUUUUGAGAAAUAGGAAUGCAAAAAAGUAUGGCAGUCCAUGGACAAACAGACAAAAUUUGUUUGCACGUGGUAUCGCUUUACGUCCCACGAACGAGAAACCUGUAGUAUGGCAAAUAUUGCCUCAAAAUCAGUCGCGGUUUCAUACGAAGAAAAAUCUCUUUUGGAAAGUUCACUUAGAGAAAAAGGACGAUACUUUCUCGUGCUCAAACGAAGUUCAAGGAUUGGAAGGACGAAUCGACGAUAUCGUUAACGACAAUGAUGGUCAUCCACGUGCGAGUCGAGACAAUCAGAAUACGAAUGCAUCGAGCAAGGGAACGCCUAUAAAUUUAAAUCGUCGAGAAACGGCACAAAUCAACAAUCUCGAUGAUAAUGGGAACGUUAGAUCGAUCGCGAAAGAAAACUUGAAUUUCCAAGAUGACCGUGCAUGUCGACCAUUGUCUCAAGAAAGUUCUGCCAUUAAACUGGAAUCCAAAAUUCCGAUAUUUUUCUCCCGAGGAAUGACCAGUACAAAGAUAAACGAUCAAGCUUCUAAUCUUUCGUCCGAUCAUAGUUAUGAUCAAGUAAACGUUAAGUUAAGAAAAAAGAUAGUUUACAAUUCGGAUAACAAAAAUAGCGCUUUUAAAGCGCGGAGUAAAAAUAUAGGAUUAGAGACGACGUAUCAACGACGAAAACGUCUUCAACAAGAUGCCACCUCUCCUAUUAGUUUAUUGGAUAACCAAGUAACGAAUCGAACUUCUGAUUCGCGUAGUAAUACCUAUCGACCUUUAUCGUGUACAAUAAAUUCCAAGUAUACCGAGGAGAGUCAAGAAAACAUAUCGGACGAACAAAAUGUUAUGUCGAAAGUCGUUUCUCAAGAGCAUCCUCCUGAAGUAUUAGUCAACAAAAGAUAUUCAAGAAGUUCUGAUGGUCAUUUGAGAUUUCCAAGAACGAGUUCCGUGGAACGUCCACAUCCAAUAUCUGAAACUGAUCAACAAUCAAAAUUACCAGCUUUUGAAACAUCGAAUCCCGUUUAUCAACGACAAAGACAAUUCGUUACAGAACCGUCAUUUAAAACAUUCAAAACAGUUAACACUUCGUAUGCUCGUACUUAUCAAGAUGUAGAAAAUUCAAAUGAAGAGACAUUAGUUGAUCAUACUUCGUUUGGACAGGAGGUAUCGUUUCAGCCAAGAAUAGAUCGGAGAACUAACGAGGCAACGAGCCAACAACGUACUGAGCCCGAAGAAAUAUCAUCGAACGCACGAACGGAUGAUGGUAUGUUUGUAAACAGUCCUUUUAGAAGGCGGAUACGUUCGUUAUCACCGUCACAACUUUAUCAUCAAGAACAAUUCGUCGAUAUGGCUUUCAAAGAUUUGCAAGGAGUUUCCAUGUACGAUAUAGACAAAGCACCUGUGAACGUAGAGGAAUGCAACGAUAGAAAGAAUAAGGAUUAUUAUUUAUCAGAAACUAACAUUUAUCCUGCUCAAACUUUAAACAAUGAAGAAUUAUUUCAUCAAGAUUACGAAAGAAAAACAAGAAGGACAAGAAGUGCGGAUAGUACAUCGUCGGAUCUAUCAGCGAGUGAUUCGAACGACAGAAGAAGAAACCGAUCUACAUUGCGAUCUCUUUUGGAAGGUCGCGAUCGAGAUGAGAGUGAUAAUAAUAGCAUUGGUAUUCCGAUUUCGCAAAGUGAAAACAUCGAGAAAGCUUUCGACGUUAUUUCUGAUAAAUCUCAAGAAAGGAACAGCGUCGAUUCUUACGUCUUAACGAUGAAAGAAUCAGAUGCUUCCACCGAAUCAACAAGUACUUCAACGGAGGAUGAAACCUCGAAGGAUUGGAGUAGCGAAGAAGGAAUCAAAUCGAGAAAUAAUCAAACGAUUUUAUCCAAACGAGAGGAAUUAGUUCAAAACGACAAUGAUUCGAAUUUAAACAGCGAAAGUUCUGAUGCAGUUGACAAAGCAAAAAAUAAAACAGAAUUACGUAGAAAAUCGAUCGUUACCAUUAUUUCGGACGAGGACAUUCUUAUGAACGAAUUAUUAGUGUCCUCGGGUGAAUCGUUGGAAAUUAAUUAUAGAAUUGAUAGGAGAUUGCACGAUACUCCGACGAUUUCAUCACCCGAACAUUCGAAAGUUAUAGUCAAAUCUGAAUCAGAAUUUAUUAAUUCAAUGGUUUGUAAUGAUUAUUUGAACGUAUUUGGUUCACCGAGACGAGAUCUUCGAAGUUCAAAUUUAUCACCGAUUUUCAACAAGGAAGUUAAUGAAAUAUUGCGAGAUGUGAAGGAAGAAGUUCCUUCCGUGUUUCUCGAUCAAUCUGUGACUUAUCAAACUUUAGAAACAAGAAAGCCUGACAGAUUAGACGACGCCAUCGAGUCAGCAACAACUUUGUUAAACAAAACUUCAGAAUAUAUCGAUAAUUCUAGAAACAUUGAAUCCAAAAUGGAUUGGUCUGUUUCGGAAGAUAUCGCUAAAGAAAAUACUACAAAUAUUGCGUUUACUAAGAUACCUGUUCCUUCGGAAAGUUUCACAAAAUUAGACGAAAUUAGAGAUAAACAUAUAGAGAAUAAGGAGGCGCCUGCGAUUCUAAAAAUCGAAAAACAACCUGCAGAAAAUACAGAAAACGUUAGAAAGAUGUCAUCUAGGGUACUUCGUAGUACAACGAAAUCCAGAAACAUUUCUAAUAAAUCAAGCAUGAAUCAACAUUCGGAAAAAGUAAUAGAUAAACAGAAACCUAUCGUACAGCAGUGUUUCAAUCAACUCGAGAGUAAAGACUGGGAAGUAACGAUAAAAGGACUUAAAUCUUUAUCUCAAUUGGCUAAACAACAUCCUGAAUAUUUGGAUCUUAAUAUCGGUGGUACGAUAGGUCGAUUAUUAGGUCGUCACAUUAAAAAUCUUCGUUCGCAAGUAUCACGUGCUGCUUGUAUAGCUGCAGGCGAUAUUUUUAGUUGUCAAAUUCGUGGUAUAGAUCAGGAUAUCGAUGAUAUCGUUGGACCGUUGCUUCAUAGAACAGCAGAUACGAAUCGUUUUCUACGCGCUGAUAGUAAUGCAGCGUUAGAUCGAAUGGUCGAAUCGCUUCCUCCACAUAAAACUAUCGGUAUUAUUGUAUAUCGUGGUGCAAGUCAUCAAAAUGCAAUUGUAAGAGCAGCCACAGCGAGAUUAUUAUUAUCGAUCGUAGAUCGUAUUGGAGCUGAACACGCUAUGAUGUUACCUCGUGAUGUUAGAGAUAAAUUGCUUGGUUCAGGAGCUAAAUUAUUGAUGGACGGAAAUUUAGAUGCAAGAAAUCACGCAAAGAAGAUUUUCCGACGAUUAAUGAAUUGUGAGGGUUUUCAAAAAGCUUUGACCGACGCCGUACCAGAAACAACCUUGAGGCAUAUCGAUAAAACUUUGAAAUCGCUUUAGUCGUAUGAUAAGCGAUUCUCACAUGUCACGAAUUAAUGUUUAAUAACAUAAAAAGAAGGAUCUGAAUAUUAUAAAUAUUUAUUAAAACUAACUUCUUAAUCCUGCACCGUACCGGUGCAAUAGGUACCUACAGUUUGUCAACUUUUGUGAUGAGAAUUUGUCAAUGAGUUUUAUAGAAUUGGUCUAAUCAAUAUAAUUGAUAACGAGCGUUUCAAGAUCAAAUCAAAAAACGAUAUGAUUUAACUGUCAUUAUUUUAACACAUCUUUGACAAUAGUUUUCACUUGUAAAGAAAUUUUUUAAAUUUUGCAUACAAUGGAGAUUGAUGUUAUUAAGAUCGAGGAUAAAGAUUUUGAGAAAUUCAAGCAGCUGUAUGAUAACAAUGACGAUUGAAAAUUAGAUUAUAACAAGCCCGAUUUGUUCGCUUUGGUAAAGACUGUUCCAGUUUUUAAUGGAAAAAGUUGGAACAAGAUUUCUUGAAGUUAUACGAUAUUUCACAGGAUCCUGACUAUAGGAAUAUUUUGGAUACUCGUAUGAUUGAAUCUCGAAAGACAUAGGAUUUUUUAAUUGAGAUAAUGACAUAGAAUAUUAUUUUAUAUGAUUCGAAUCUUUAGUAUCUUGUGCAUCUCCAUUGAAAAAUAGAGAUUUUAUAUUAAAACAUUCGUGACUUGAGAUCGGAGAACAAUUCAUCUUAAAUCAUUUUUAUUUGUUACAAGGACUACUCAGCUAGAAAACAUUUUAUUGAAACGACAUCUCAUUCAAUUUAUUUAAUAUUUGCGUACGCGAAAUCAAAGAUCUUUUUAGGCCAAGAAAAAAUGCUCGAUUUUUAUUUAUAACAAAAAUGAUAUCGAUACAACAACAAUUAUUCCAAGAGUGGUCGAAAUUUAAUCGUUAUUAUGUACAUUUAUUUUUACUCGAUUCCCACUUUUCUCAUUCAUGGCCUCCGCCCCAAUACGUUACCUUUCAUACAUCCUUUACUAUAAAUCAUUUGAUGUAUGAUCGUUAAUCUAAACGUCUUUCUAAUCGGCCGACUUUUAUUGGCCAUCACUUUUUGAUAUUUAUGUCUUUAACAUAUGUGUAUAUAUAUACAUAUAUAUAUACAUACACAUAUAUAUAUAUAUUUCCUUUUUUAUAUUAUUAUCUAAAAUACGUAUCUAUUCGUAUUUAACACAGUACCAAUGGAAAUUCAAUGAUUUAUAAUCGUAAAAGAAAUUUAUUCGCCAGUGAAAGAAUCCAUUAACGAAAGAACAAUAAGUGCAAUAUGCAGUAUGCAGUACAAUGGUUUGUAAGAUGAAUUUUUUUAAGUAAAUAUAUCGAACAAUACGUCGAAUCUCGUUUUGUCUACUCUGAAAUAUGUUAUUAUUUUAUCUAACCCAUGUAAUAAGUAAACAAAUGAAAUAUUCUUCAUAAUUAUUUGACAAGAUGAAUACGGUAAAGUUAUUCGUAUUUAUUUGAUAUUAUUACAGAUAUAAAUUUUAAUAUCAAUUUUAAUUGUAGCCAAACGACGAAUCGAUAAAUUACAAUUUGAUCUCAGAAGAAGAGAUUACCGAUGAAAGAAUCAUCGAAUUAACUAUAAUUACUAUAGAAAAUAUUGUAAGUUAUUUAUAAAUUAUUAUACGUUAUGAAAAUAUUUCAUAAGAGUAUAUUUUACAGAUAAGAAACGAAGAUACAAAUGUGAUCAUAUCUGUGGAACAUAAUUCAAAUAUAUUGGGAGAAAGUAAUCCGAUCAAAAUCGAAGCUGGUAUCAAAGAACCACCACCUGUAUAUGAUGUUAAUUUUUCUAUUCAAAUUCCAGUAUUUAUUUCCGAUCGAAAUGCCAUUGAUCGUCUAGUUUCCACUCCAUUUUUAAUUACAGUAUCAAGCGUCAACAAAGACGAAAAUGUUACGCCUACUGUUGUGGAUACUGCGAGGACAAAAAAAUCGCGAAUUCCUUCUAAAAAGGAUUUUAAAUUAAAAAUUAUUGGAUUGUGCAAUGUCGACCUCAUGCCAAUUUUAUUAGGUAUCACCCGGUAUAUAUAAAGUUAUAUGAACGAUCAAUCAAAAAUCAUAAAUUAAUUUUUAUAUUACAGGAGAGGAUUUAUUUAUGGAAAAAUUAAUUUUAGAAACAGCACAAUUUACAUUCGAUGGUAAUGCUGUGUCGUGGCCUAAUCUUCCAUGUUUAACGAUCAAAAUUAAACAAGAGCAAAAACCAUUUUUUCCUUCUGAUUUAGAAUUUAAUUUUCUAAACAUUACCAUAGAAAGUAUUUUUAAUCCAUUAUCUUCGUUCACUGAUAAUAUGGAUUACAAAGCUGGUACUAUUCUUUAUGGUGAACAAGAAGUAGGCAUAUUUCUUUGAUAUCAUAAUAAUAAAUCCAUUUUUUUUCUAACAUGUUUCGAAUAAAUUAGUAAGGUGAAAAAAACUUCUUUUCUUUUUCUUUUUUUUUAAUUAUCGAUCGAAGGAUCCAGAAGCGAUAAUACACGGUGAUGGCAAAUUGAUUCAUGAUCGAGAUAUAGAAAAAAGUAAAUGUUGGAAAUCUUUGUCACAUUUAACAAGUCGCGCUAGAUUGUCGAAAUACAAACUAGCUUGUAAUUACAACGAUGUAAAGAACACACUUGCAGAGGAAUUAAAAUUGCAGGUAUAUGGAAUACAUAAUUUAACAAACAAA